AAGCAUACAUCCCAGGACUCC
rnacentral:misc_RNA from 1 species